AUUGUACUGAUGAGGAAGCUGACGUUAAGAGCAGUAAAUUGCCUGCUUCAAACAGCUUAUAAAUGGCAGAGCAAGGAUCUAAGAAAUCAAGGGGAUUUUAAAAUUCUACCCCUUAACUCUAAUUCAUAGUUGAGUCAUGAGGAGGCUGAAUAAUUGCAUACUCUACACUUAUCCUCAUUCUGCUUUUAAUUUAUGUAAGUGUUUACUGACCUUGCUUUAAGCUUCCUGAAACCAGACGGCACAACUUAGAGGGAAGAAAUCUCAGAAUGAAUAUAGGGCUCUUCUUGUAGUCUGGCCAAUGGAUCUGCUGGGUAAGUGGCAGAAUCCCUCACUUACUUAGUAGAUAAAGCUCUCCAUGAGGACAUACUGAAAGCCCCUAGCUAGUCCCUAGAGGAGAAUCUCUCAGCUGAUGACACCCAGGAAUCAUCUCACCAAUGAGACCCUUUAAGACUUAGAAGCUCCUUACCAGCGGAACAUCCUGCAGGUGUGACCCAGCAGGAGGGAACUCACUCUACUGAGAAGCAUUUUCAUCCUAGAUUCUAUCCAGUUACUUAUGAAGACUGAAAUCCAGAUAAUAAGACUUGGUGUGCCCCAGCAGUAAAGCCCUGCAGUGACGUGCUCAAGGCAAAAGUGAACGGCACUGAGUAAGCUGAGAGGUCUCUGGCCUCCACUGCACUGGAGAGGAUCCCGGAGGAUGGGUGAGAGAGGAUCUAUGUAGAGGCAUCAGGAAUCACUGACCUCUCACACGCGUUUUAGAGGACGUCCACCCACUGCAUGUAGAUGCAUUAACAACUUUAUUUUGGUGAUAGAGAAGAUUAGAUGGUCAGAAAAGAUUCCCUUCACCUUAUGGCUAUAACGUCACCUACAGCGUGUCGUUCUCUGCAUUGGUGAGCCAAACAGGAAAGAGAACGUGGAAAGGACAUGACUGCUUCUUAGAAGCCUCAGCCUGGAAGUGACAAACAUCACUCUCACGUCCACUCUAUUGAGCAAAAAGAUCAUUCAUGCUGUAGAGCCAUCUGUUAUCCAG
rnacentral:lncRNA from 1 species